rnacentral:rRNA from 1 species
GACGAACGCUGGCGGCGUGCUUAACACAUGCAAGUCGAACGGAAAGACCCUGCUUGCAGGGUACUCGAGUGGCGAACGGGUGAGUAACACGUGGGUGAUCUGCCCUGCACUUCGGGAUAAGCCUGGGAAGCUGGGUCUAAUACCGGAUAGGAGCCAUUUUUAGUGUGAUGGUUGGAAAGUUUUUUCGGUGUAGGAUGAGCUCGCGGCCUAUCAGCUUGUUGGUGGGGUAAUGGCCUACCAAGGCGGCGACGGGUAGCCGGCCUGAGAGGGUGGACGGCCACAUUGGGACUGAGAUACGGCCCAGACUCCUACGGGAGGCAGCAGUGGGGAAUAUUGCACAAUGGGCGCAAGCCUGAUGCAGCGACGCCGCGUGGGGGAUGACGGCCUUCGGGUUGUAAACUCCUUUCGCUAGGGACGAAGCUUUUUGUGACGGUACCUAGAGAAGAAGCACCGGCUAACUACGUG